UUCACGGUAUUGCAAUGAGAACAAUUUAAAACCCUUAGCGAGAAUCAAGUGGAGGACAAGUCUGGUGCCAGCACCCGCGGUAAUUCCAGCUCCACUAGCGUAUAUUAAAGUUGUUGCAGUUAAAAAGCUCGUAGUUGAACCUCUGUCUGGGGCUAGUUCUGGCUUUGGUCAGGCUAGUUCUAGGCAUCCGCCUACAAGACUUAGAGGGCAUUCAGUUGUUCACUAGGAGGAGUAGGCAUUUUACUUUGAAAAAAUUAGAGUGUUUAAGGCAGGCAAUCGCCCGCAUAUAUUAGCAUGGAAUAAUAGAAUAGGACACUUUUCCAUUUCGUUGGUUAUUGGAAUCGUGUAAUGAUUAAUAGGGACAGUUGUGGGCAUUUGUAUUUAAUUGUCAGAGGUGAAAUUCUUGGAUUUAUUAAAGACAAACUAACGCGAAAGCAUUUGCCAAGGAUGUUUUCAUUAAUCAAGAACGAAAGUUAGGGGAUCAAAGACGAUCAGAUACCGUCCUAGUCUUAACUAUAAACUAUUCCGACUCAAUGUUUGACUGGCUUAUAUAACCAGUUGAGCGUUGUAUGAGAAAUCAAAGUCUUUAGGUUCUGGGGGGAGUAUGGUUGCAAAGCUGAAACUUAAAGGAAUUGACGGAAGAGCACAACCAGGAGUGGAUUCUGCGGCUUAAUUUGACUCAACACGGGGAAACUUACCAGGUUAAAACAAUAGUGGGAUUGACAGUUUGAGAGCGCUUUCUUGAUUGGUUGGGUGGUGGUGCAUGGCCGUUCUUAGUUGGUGGAGUGAUUUGUCUGCUUAAUUGCGUUAACGAACGAGACCUUAACCUGCUUACUUGACUGGCGAUCAUCAAUCGUUAGCUCUUCUUAGAGGGACUUUGGUUGUUUUAACUCCAAGGAAGUUUGAGGCAAUAACAGGUCUGUGAUGCCCUUAGAUAUCCUGGGCCGCACGCGUCAUACAAUGACUAGUUCAGAAAGUUUUCUCCUGACCCGAAAGGGGAUGGGUAAUCUUGAUAAUACUAGUCGUGUUAGGGAUCGAUCUUUGCAAUUAUAGAUCUUGAACGAGGAAUUCCUAGUAAGUGCGGUUCAUCAGACCGUACUGAUUACGUCCCUGCUCUUUGUACACACCGCCCGUCGCUUCUACCGAGUGGGUGGUCCGGUGAGAUAAUUGAACUUCGCAGGUAACUGAGAGGAAAGAUUAUCAAACCUAUCCACCU
rnacentral:rRNA from 1 species